rnacentral:rRNA from 1 species
UAGAGUUUGAUCCUGGCUCAGAUUGAACGCUGGCGGCAUGCUUUACACAUGCAAGUCGAACGGCAGCACGGGCUUCGGCCUGGUGGCGAGUGGCGAACGGGUGAGUAAUACAUCGGAACGUACCCAGAAGUGGGGGAUAACGCAGCGAAAGUUGCGCUAAUACCGCAUACGUUCUACGGAAGAAAGUGGGGGAUCUUCGGACCUCAUGCUUUUGGAGCGGCCGAUGUCUGAUUAGCUAGUUGGUGGGGUAAAGGCUCACCAAGGCGACGAUCAGUAGCUGGUCUGAGAGGACGACCAGCCACACUGGAACUGAGACACGGUCCAGACUCCUACGGGAGGCAGCAGUGGGGAAUUUUGGACAAUGGGCGCAAGCCUGAUCCAGCAAUGCCGCGUGAGUGAAGAAGGCCUUCGGGUUGUAAAGCUCUUUUGUCAGGGAAGAAACGGUUCCGGCUAAUAUCCGGGGCUAAUGACGGUACCUGAAGAAUAAGCACCGGCUAACUACGUGCCAGCAGCCGCGGUAAUACGUAGGGUGCAAGCGUUAAUCGGAAUUACUGGGCGUAAAGCGUGCGCAGGCGGUUUUGUAAGUCUGUCGUGAAAGCCCCGGGCUCAACCUGGGAAUUGCGAUGGAGACUGCAAGGCUUGAAUCUGGCAGAGGGGGGUAGAAUUCCACGUGUAGCAGUGAAAUGCGUAGAGAUGUGGAGGAACACCGAUGGCGAAGGCAGCCCCCUGGGUCAAGAUUGACGCUCAUGCACGAAAGCGUGGGGAGCAAACAGGAUUAGAUACCCUGGUAGUCCACGCCCUAAACGAUGUCUACUAGUUGUCGGGUUUUAAUUAACUUGGUAACGCAGCUAACGCGUGAAGUAGACCGCC